CCAUCUGGUGUGUUCCAUGGUGGAACUCGUCCUCCUGGGAGCAGAAUCAUCUGAGGCGGAGGAAUUGGAAAACGGGAAGGCAUUUUUGCAAGAGGAGCAGCAGCGGCAGCAGUAAACAAGACAGCUCACCCUUACCAUUCUUGGAGAAAAGCAGAACCUCUGGCCACACAAAAGGGAAAUAGCUCUACUGAGGAGGUGGUUCAAACAGUGGCCAACGACUCAAUCCGAGAGACAGUGUGCCUUCAUUACCUGCCUCUGCUUCUGUUGCCACUGAAUACUCCCAUAAGUUUGACGAGC